rnacentral:lncRNA from 1 species
UUUGUUGUUGUUGUACAUAACGUUUUUUUGUAUUUUACAUAACGAUUAUUUCCGUUAUGUAUUUUCAAAUGCAGAAUUUAAAUACAAAUUAUACAAUAUACAAUAUCCUCAAACACAACAUAUUCCACAACCAAAACAUAUAUAAAUAUUUAAUCAUCCAAAUAACUUUAUCCAUCCAUAAUCAAAGUGUCAAUAUAUCUAAAUAACAUCAUAAUCUCUACAACUAGAAGCUGCAUAUGAGUUGGAUAAUCUCUACACUAAUAUCAUCUCCAAAUGUGGACAGAGCAAAGAGGGCAAUAGCUACAUUGAACGUCCGAGUUCCAACUUUAUCUAUGUGCUUCAUCUCAUAGUCACCUACCUGCAAAUAAUGAAGCAAAUAUAUAUCUAAACAUCACAAUACACAAUGGGAUAAUAAGACAUUCUAUCUUCACAUUCCCAUAUUUUUGGACCAUAACACAUUUCUGAUACUGAUAGACGCGUCUCACCAUUCUGCCAGUCGACGUGCUCAAUAGAGAAAGUGAAGCAUAAUACCUCAAAAACAGAUACAGAAUCGAGUCUAUUGAAGUACUGAGGGGUAAAAGGUGGAAAAUUGGAAGCUUAACUGGACUC